CAAUAAGAAGUCUAAGAACGACUGGGGGUGGAGCUUGCAUGCCUUGUGCUGAUCAAAUCGGCUGCGUUGCCUGGGGACUCGCCUUUGCUCAUCGCUUCCCAGCGGAGAGGUGACGGUGGUUUUCCUUGAGGCUUCAUUUGGUUGCUGGCUGGGCUUUCUGCCUUUGGCUCAGAGGGGCUCAGAAGUUGAACAUACCUGUACUGAGUGCUUGGAUCGGAAUCGGAUGGAUACGUCAUCGACGGCCCACUCACCCUUGCCGGCAAAAAGGUCUGUCUGGAGCGGGGGCACAUGGUGGGGUAAAGGAAAGGAGAUCUCGUGGGAAGGGGGGAUUUUGAAUUUGUUUUGGAGGCUCCUUCGAUUGACUUAUGGGGGGAAAGAAAGGAGAUGGUUGACUAAAAUGGUGGGCGACUGGCGAUCUCGUGGCAAGGGGGGGAGGCUUUGUGUGUGUGGCUAGUUAAUGCAAGCUGAGGGGGGGGGGGUUGAAUGCUGGACGCCAUUUUGUUGCACGUGCUGCUGCAAACUUUGCAGUGCAAAGCCAGGCCGGGGAGCCAUCUUAAGUUGAGGCUGCAUAGGCCUUGUGGUGCAUGUGAUUCAGAUUCUAUUCAGUUGAACCUCUGGCUACAAAGUUGGUUGGACAGUGUUCUCAAAGCUACCAACAUGAGUUUGACCAGACUGCAGGAGGACAGGAAGACUGUAGUGCCUGGAACAGGUGAGGCUGCAGGUCCCUUAUUUUGGCUGCUGGUCCCUUAUUUUCAUUAUCUGUAAGUUGACAGCUAUGCAUGGAAGGCGGAGAAGGAGGGCUGAGAGCGGUUGCGACGGUGAGGCUCGGGCCGCGCGAUGCCUUCCUUCCCAUCGGAGCAGUCCCAAUCCCAUUCGUACUUGCUUGCAAGCAGGAGGGCAUGGGGAUCCCUCAGCUGGGAAGGGAGGCUUCCCGUUGCCUAACUGAGAGAUCCCUGCCCACUCCUGCUUGCACACAAGUAGGAGUUGGGAGGCUGCUCCGAUAGGCAGCAUGAAACCUCCCUUCACAGCUUAGUUGCUGGGGUCAGGGAAGAUGGAGGCAGCCCGGAAGCUGCAUCUCAGAGCCCCUGCACCACCAUCAUAUGGGGACUUCUGAGCAGCUCCUGAAGCCAGCCAGAGCCAACUGCUCCAGGCUGCUGAGACUGCUGCUGCUGCGUUUCCCGGGGACAUUAGAUGAAAUCCACGGACAUUCCGGGAAUGGAAUUUGUCCGGGGACUUAUUUGCAAAUCCAGGGACUGUCCCUGGAAAACGGGGAAGUUUGGUAACCCUAUCUUAGUUAAAUGCCGUCCCAUACUUCCAGAAAAUCAAAGUGGGAUACCUUAUGCUUUCAGAAGCAUAGCAGUAGGAUUACUCAUGCAGCCUUACUUCAAAUUAUAUAUUAGAUAAUAUUAGUAGUACAGGAAGCUUGCAACUUAAGUGCACUUAACUUGUACACAUUCAGCGAUUGGCAAAAAAAGGAGGUGGAAAGGGGAUAGGUGUCCAGGGGAAAGGAUUUUGGCACAAUUCAAACAGGAAAGGGUUUAGGUGAUUGCAAACAAGCCAGGUACUUACAUGAGUAUAAAGAGUAAGAGUAAAACAGGAAUGAGACAUUAAAAUAUUUGUACAUUUAUUUGUUAUUAAAAUUUACCUACUGUUAUUUUCUGUGUCACUUUAAACUGUUUUUUUUUUAGCUGAUUUUAUUGCAUUCUGCCCUGAGACAUGUGUGAUUGAAUUAAUUAAUAAUGCAAGAUAUUUUUAGGGAUCUAGAUCGAUACUCUUGCCAGGAACUGGAUAAUGUACCACAAAAAGUGUCUCUCAGUAUGAGCUAAUCAGCUUUUAUUACAUCCCUCAUAUGCAGCUGAAAACUGAAAGCUUUAUAGAACUUCAUGGGCCAAAAUGAACCACUAUUAUUAAUUCGCGUCUCAUCCUAUUUUUAACAUUUUAUGAGCGUUCUGGCCACGUUACAACCUGGAGAACUUUCCGGGCCUCGUUUCCUGCCACAAAGGAGAAUGUGACCACAACCUCACCCCUACGCUUGCCUUUGUCACAUUAUUCUGGGAGCGGUGAGCUUUUCGGAUGGCCACAUUAGGAAUGUUGGAAAAGUGAUGGAAGCACGAGUCAGAAAACGGGAGCUGCGGAAACAAGGCAUAACACUGUUAUAGGAAUUCUAAGGUCUUAUAUAUAUAUAAAAUAAAUGUUCAUAAAUGUACAAGGCAAACACAUACAUAAGUAUAUAAACCAUGUGUCUGAAACAGUACAGGAGAACAAUCCUGAAGCCAUUUUGACUCUCCCAAAUUGACCUCAAAUAUUUCUCUGCAAGGAGGCAGGAAAUGGGAAAAGCUUUCCAAUUGUAGGGGCUUAUAAAAGGUAAAGGGACCCCUGACCAUUAGGUCCAGUCGUGGCCGACUCUGGGGUUGCUGCGCUCAUCUCGCUUUAUUGGCCGAGGGAGCCAAUACAGCUUCUGGGUCAUGUGACCAGCAUGACAAAGCUGCUUCUGGUGAACCAGAGCAGUGCACGUAAACGCCAUUUACCUUCCCGCUGGAGCGGUACCUAUUUAUCUACUUGCACUUUUGACGCACUUUCAAACUGCUAGGUUGGCAGGAGCAGGGACCGAGCAACAGGCGCUCACCCCAUCGCGGGGAUUCGAACUGCCAACCUUCUGAUUGGCAAGUCCUGGGCUCUAUGGUUUAACCCACAGCGCCACCCACGUCCUUGUAGGGGCUUAUACCUCCCUGUAAAUACAGUCUGGCAAGUAUCUGUUAAGCUGAGCACACUAUCAAUAGGAGUAAGAGAUUCAGAAACUAUUUACCAUCUCAAAGGAAUGGCCAGGCUACCCAGAAAAGGCAAAGAGAUAAAGCAUUAUCAGGUAUCCUGGCAGACAGGAGAGAAGCAACACACUCAAAUUUCUGCUGGGGACCACCUCUUUCUGUGAUGUAUGUAUGAUGUUUUCGGAGGUGGUCUUCAGCUACAGGGAGACAAUUUCAAAAGUCUAUAUAAAAGUUUGCACACCAAUGUUCUGGGAUGUCCCUCUCCUCCCUGCUUGGGGUGAGCAGGGGACCCUGUUGCAACAGUUUAAUAAAGAUCAGGCUUACUAGCUGCUUUGCUUCUCAAUACAGUGGUACCUCGGAUUAAGAACUUAAUUUGUUCUGGAGGCCCGUUCUUAACCUGAAACUGUUCUUAAUCUGAAGCACCACUUUAGCUAAUGGGGCCUCCUGCUGCCACUGCGCUGCUGCUGCAUGAUUUCUGUUCUCAUCCUGAAGCAAAGUUCUUAACCCGAGGUAAUAUUUCUGGAUUAGCGGAAUCUGUAACCUGAAGUGUAUGUAACCUGAAGAGUCUGUAACCCGAGGUACCACUAUACUCUCUGGUUGGCUUCUGUUAUUUUCUUCUACCGAUAGAGAACCUCCAUAAGGACUCUGUAUGGGCUCUUGGAUACCCCAUAAGGGAUAAAGUAGCAGUUUUUUCUUAGAACAAUACAACAUGGCUGCCACAGAAAAAGAGACAGGGCCACAAAAAAGUGGGGAUGACCCCUAUCUGCUCUCUCAUCAGUGAGAAAAGACUCCUAUUUUAGUUACCACCACACAAAGCUUUGUACACCUCAGUGUUGUUCAGAACAGAAGGGAGGGUGGGCAGGGUUUUUUGGCAGUUUUCCUUUUAAAAAAAGGUAGAAACUUCUCUUUGUCCCCCCCAAAACAGUUCAACAACUUUUGUGUCCGGAUUUUCACUUUUUGAAAUAUGGCAACCCUGGUUUAAGGGGCACACUUAAUGUAGACAAGGCUGAGCCCAAAGAAACAGGAACUGAACAUGAAGAACAAACAGUAUCUCACAUAAACUAUAUUUUUCAGGGGACAUUUGUUGGUGUUUGCAACGUAAUUUCAUUGGGAAUAUAUUUCACAAAGAAUAGAUGGUGUCGGGGAAAGGAGCUGACAAUUGGGAGUUGCUAGGUUAUUUCUGUGAGUUCUUUCUUAAUACUUGUUCUUCAAGUAAAAAGAUAUUAUUGUUAUUAUUAUUUAUUUAUUAUUAUUAUUCCACUCAUCUGACUGGAUUUCUAGCCACUCUGGGCAGCUCCCAACAGGAUAUUAAAAGCACCAAACGUGAAAAAACUUCCCUAAACAUGGUUGCCUUCUAAACAGUGCAAUGACUUUUGUGAUUCAAGAGCUGAAGUACCUGUGGGUGCUUUUUUCCAGCUCAGUGUGUUAGACGCAGCAGAGUGGUGCUCGCAAAUAAUUCCCUCGAGCGCUUUUCAGAGCAGAAGUGUUAACACUUAAAACAUGGCCAGAGUCCAACUCGGUAACUGUACCGCAUACACGCCCAAGUAUAAUUUCAGCUGCAAUGAGAAAUCUCCUUUGUAUCCGCCAGAAUUAAACCAGCGAGGUUUCGCUCAGGAGCAAUCCUGUGGCCAUCAAUCAAAACACAUCAAAAUUAAAUGAGAGUAAGGUUACUCCUGAUAAGGCAAUAGCUCUUCAUAAAUAGGGUUGCCAGAAUCUUACCAGGAAGGAGGCUCUAUGCGCCUUUUAACUGCUGACAAACAUUUUCCCUUCAGUUUUGUGGUGGGGAAAGUUUCAGCUGUCAUUAUAUCUGCCUGUUAAGUCAAUCUGGAUUCUUUGAUCAUUUCUGCAUUGUCUUUAUCCUGAAGAGUGCUCUCGUUAUUAAACAAGCCCUUGUAACAUGGGAGGUGCCAUGAACAUGGAAGCCCGUGCUGGAUUUAAAAGUGUAGAAUUGGCUGGUUAAGGGAAAUAGUUGACACAAACAUUGAGAUUUGAAUUAUCACUUCAAACGUUCAGGGCUGCUGUUUUCAUUCAUUUUAGAAGCGGGGAACGGAUGACCCUCCUUAUGUUGCUAUUCAGCUGUUGUUGGACUACAACUCCCAUCAUCCCUAGCAAGGGAUGAUGGGAGUUGUAGUCCAACAACAGCUGGAGACCCAAGGUUGAGAAACACUGCUAAACUACAGCUCCCAUCAUCCCUGACCAUUGGCCAUACAGGCUUGGGGCUGAUGGGGUUUGAAGUCCAAAAGACGUCUGAAGGGCCUGGGGUUGUCCUCUCUUGCUAUCCAGAUAAGCUUAAUGUAGGGAAAUUUGGAGGCUGCCAUGGAUGGUUGCAGUUUUCAAACACAUAUCAUUAUGAAGAAGCAGACCUAUGUGUGAUUUUUUUGGACUUAUAGGCCUUCUUGGUAGUGGCGCCCGCCUGUGGAACGCCCUCCCACCAGAUGUCAAAGAGAUAAAUAACUACCAAACUUUUAGAAGACAUCUAAAGGCAGCCCUGUUUAGGGAAGCUUUUAAUGUUUAAUAGGUUAUUGUAUUUCAGUGUUUUGUUGGAAGCCGCCCAGAGUGGCUGGGGGGACCCAGCCAGAUGGGCGGGGUAUAAAUAAUAAAUUAUUAUUAUUAUCUAGACGUCUAGGUCUAGACUUCAGGUCUAUGCAGGUGAAGCGGAUCUUCUUUGCUAAGGCAAGACACCAAGGGUUUUCAUUCUUCUCCCUGUAUUACAAUAUCGCUGUGUGGCUUGGACAAAGAGAAUGGGUCACACGGAACGUCGUCCAGAGAAGCCAGAAGCAACAAGUACCAGUCAUUUAAACCCUUGCUCUCAUUUUCCAGUCAAAUGUCGACAGCUGCAAGGACAGGUGAAGAGCAUAUCUGGUUUGCCAGCUAGCAGCUGAUGCCGCUGGGCGGGAGCCAGACGAUUACAUUUUAUGUGUGUGUCGGUCCAUGCUUUCUUGGGCUCUCUGGGCCAUUCCUAUGCUAAGAGUGAGCAAGCUGACAGAAUGCCUUUAUUCUAUUUGCAUCUGUGAGUGCCCACACAUUUUUUCCCCCCAGCGGGCAGAGGAGAUGAUCCCAAACAGCUGAAACUGCUAGCCUCAAAGAAGCUCAGUUUUGCUUAAGAGUUGUAAAAUAGCCAGGGACAAGUACUGUAUAUACCACGGGCGGGCAGGGUGGGUGGGGAGUGAGCAGAAAGUAGAUUGGGAUCUACCAGCAAAUAUUUGGGUGGUUUGCAGAAGAUUGGCAACAGCUUCUGACUCCUCAGUUGUUCAGCAAUGGCAACAACAAUUAGGCAUUGAAAUUAGGUAUUAGGUACAGUGGUACCUUUGGUUACAUACUUAAUUCGUUCUGGAGGUCCGUUCUUAACCUGAAACUGUUCUUAACCCAGUGGCGUAGCGUGGGUUGUCAGCACCCGGGGCAAGGCAAGUAAUUUGCGCCCCCUAACCCCUAACCCACCGGGCGCCAGGUAGGGGCAGAGAGCUGCGAGUGCGAGCGCGCCCCCCCCAGAUGUUGCGCCCGGUGUGGCCGGCUCCCCCUGCACCCCCACGCUACGCCACUGUCUUAACCUGAGGUACCACUUUAGCUAAUGGGGCCUCCCACUGCUGCCACAGCGCAAUUUCUGUUCUCAUCGUGAAGCAAAGUUCUUAACCCGAAGUAAUAUUUCUGGGUUAGCGGAGUCUGUAACCAGAAGCGUAUGUAACCUGAAGCGUAUGUAACCCGAGGUACCACUGUAUUAGGUAUUACAAUUAGGUAUUGAAAUGAAGAAAGCUUGGCUUAACCAGAAGUGGAGUGUGUGACUUCACAAAUAGCAUUCUGGUAUUCAGAACCAAUCACAGUUAAUUAUCCUGGCUUGGAGGGUACUCAUAGGCACUCUCUUUUUCCAGUUCUACCUGUAUCUUUUGCAACAUGCCUUGGAUGGUAGAUCUUUGGGUUCCAGCAGUGUAAUUUUUCUAGAAGAAGAGGUGCUGGAACUCACCAUGAACACCUCCCUCAUUUUCUUAGAAUGUCAAUGGCACCUACCUGAGAGGUGCUGGAACUGAGUUACGGUGAGUUCCGGCUUUUAAAAAAGCCCUGGUUUCUAGUAAGAAGAAGUUCCCAAUUAGAUCUGCCAAGCCUGAAAUUUGUCCACCCCUUCUCUAUACCAAAAGCAUUGCUUGUGGUAUCCGACAUCAGGGACUGUGAAAUCCGUAGCGCAUAGGUGCCAUUUGGUCAGAACAGUCUGGAAUGCAAAUUUGCUUCAUUUACCUCCAAGCGUCCAAAUCAGGUACAUUUCCCGCUGCUGAAACUGCUGUUCCCGUUUCCCCAUUCAUCAAAGUAGUGGCAGAUGGUGUCAGCGUUUAUGAAUUAAGCAGCCUUUCAAGCACAGCCAGACAUUAAGGUGGAAUAUUUCCUGGACUGUCAAGCUUGCUAUAAAAUUUGUCACCUUCUUUGCCCUGUAGCUGUUAGCCGGGUUGUUUUGUUUUAUGAUAAAAUCCUUGAACUCCUAAGUGAAAGCAGAUUUGCUACAAAGGCCAGUAAUUAAGCACAUUAAAGCUAGCUACUGAGAGAUACAAAAUAUGAGCACACCAAUUCUGUUCUGAAAACGAGCUUCUGUGAAAUGCAGCUCUUUGAUUCUGCAUAGUCCCGUUUUGUUAUUUGUAGAAGGCUUAAAAGAGGGGGCUAGACAGUACCACAUCUAUCAAUUAGACAUCACAUGUGGGGCCUUCAACAAAAUGUUGCAGUAUAUUCACACCCCCUGAGUGCUCCUGUUCAGGGUUCUAGCCAGGCAGGCCUUCCUCUGGGAUACCUUUAAGCCCAGCAUGGGUCCCCCACUGUUGUUGAACUAGAAAUCCCACCAUCCCUAGCUAGCAGGACCAGUGGUCAGGGAUGAUGGGAGUUGUAGCUAAACAACAGCUAGGGACCCAAGUUUGAGAAAUAUUGUCGUAAGCUGUCAAAAGCUCAAGCAAGCAAAUUUAUUCUCUUUCCAUUUCCCUCUUGGUGGUUUGUUUGGUUUUGUGUGUGUGUGUUUGGUACUUUUGCAAAACUGAUACUCUGCUUCAUUAGUGGUUCCACUUUGUUGCCAUGUUUGUUGGUGCUUACUACCUGAACUUGCUAUUGGUGGGAACAAGGAGCUGUGUGUAAGCUAUCCAGAAUUGGCCUCCACAGUUGCCUACAGACACAUUAUUAAGACUGUAUUUGUGGAAGACAAUAUUACUCGGCUGCGAGUAAUAACAGAAGAAGAAGAAGAAGAAGAAGAAGAAGAAGAAGAAGAAGAAGAAGAAGAAUCUACAGGAAGGCACUCGCAGUUUAGGCCACAAGCAAUGAGCAUCUCUCAAGAAAUCCUUUGCAUGUGCUCAUGCUGCUUCUGAGCAUCAGUGGGGGGGGGGGCAAGGGAUUUUGCACCAAGUCUUUGCUUCCAAGUCCUCCAAGUCUUUGGUUUUAGUACAGAGACCUGUAAAAGUAACCCUGUAAAUAUGCAGUGUCAAUAUAUUUAUCAAAAAUAAAUUUUGUCAGCAGCAUUAUCCAAGCAGACAACUAGGGUGCAAUAACGUCCACAAACCACAAGCAGUUUUGUUCCAUUGUUGUUGCUAAAAAAAGAAGGGUGCACCAAGGGGUGAAGCAGGUGUAGCAACAGCAAUGGGAUCUCAGGAGAGAUGAUCAGAGGAUUACAGUGUUCUGCCUACUGAAAACGAUUCUAAGGGCUCUAAUAAUAAGAAUAAUAGUAAUAAUAAUAUGCCGCCCAUCUGACUGGGUUGCCCCAGCCACUCUGGGUGGCUCCCAACAAAAUAUUAAAAACACAAUAAAACAUUAACCCUUAAAAACUUCCCUGAACAGGGCUGCCUUCAAGUGUCUUUUAGAAGUCAACCUUGACAUUUCCUUGACAGUGCGGGCACCACUACCAAGAAGGCCCUCUGCCUGGUUCCCUGUAAUUUCACUUCUUGCAGUGAGGAAACCGCCAGAAGGCCCUCAGAGGAGGACCUCAGUGUCCGGGCUGAACAAUGGGGGUGGAGAUGCUCCUUCAGGUAUACUGGGCCAAGGCCAUUUAGGGCUUUAAAAGGUCAGCACCAAUACUUUGAAUUGUGCUUGGAAAAGUACUGGGAGCCAGUGUAGAUCCUUUAGGACCGGUGGCCAGAUCUGUUGUCUUUACCUUAUGUGAAAGGGCGCCACAGAACAUAGCCAUUGCAACUCUCUGGAGUUGGUAUUUUUUAAGAGGAGGUUGACUUUAGCGGGCAGACUUGCUUUCUAGGGGAGCCCCCUGACUGCUACGACUGACCAUCUUGUCAAGAUUCCCAUGUCUGCUUUCCCAAAACAGGUUCCAAAACACUUUUGACACAGCAAUGUGUCCCAGCUGCAUCAGACCCUAGAGGAAUGAAAGAUGGCUGUGACAUCAAGGGAGAAGCAUGUGGCUGUUCCAAACCUGCUCAAAGUUAUGUAGGGAGAACUCGAGAUAAAUUCACUCCUGUAUUUUCAGCAAAACCUUGAAAAUAGUCCUGACGUACUUACCGGGGAAAAUAAGAAAUCAAGAUAACAAACUUUUUAUGAAAGAAUGGUUUCUUGAAUAUUUUACAAACAAACUGCAAACAGAUAAGAACAUUGGCAGGAUUAUUGUAAUAACCUACAGCUUUAUUUUUCUGAAAUAAUUUUUAAUUUGAUUUUACAAGUGUAGAGUUAUAACAAUACAAAAUGCAUAUCCAAAUUUAGAGAUUUCUCCGAAUCUCUAGACUUCCCAUCUUCCCCUUCAUUGGUCUCAUUAUAAACCUUUUCAACAGCAUAUUAUUUCAUCAUCCAAAUUUUAUGUCUCUCCAUUUUAUCCAUAAUAUCUUCUAUAUUACAGGUAUCUGAAGAAGUGUGCAUGCACAUGAAAGCUCAUACCAAUAACAAAUUUAGUUGGUCUCUAAAGUGCUACUGGAAGGAUUUUUUUUAUUUUGUUUUUUACAUUACAAGUUUUAUUGUAAUCCUGCAAAUGUUCUCUUCUGGUCUCUCAAGUAAAUUAUAAAUUUCCCCCCUUCUUUAUUGAAGUUUUGGUCUUCUUGGUUCCUGAACUUUCUGGUUAGUUUUGCCAUUUCGGCAUUGUCCAACAGGUUAGAUUGCCAUUCUUCUCUGCUAGGGACUGUGUCUUCUUUCCAUCUCUGAUCUAGUGUAACCUGCAGCUUUAUAAGAGUAUACAUUUAAAGUAGAUCAACAAAUGAUUAAAUUAAUUUGGAAUAUGCAGGGUAGGGACUUUGUCUUCUUUCCAUCUCUGGGCUAGUGUAACCUGCAGCUUUAUAACAGUAUACAUUUAAAGUAGAUCAAUAAAUGAUUAAGUUAAGUUAAUUUGGGAUAUGCAGAAAAUAUAAAAAAAUAAAUUUAAGGAACCGCAGAAAGAGAGGGAAGG